rnacentral:rRNA from 1 species
UUGAUCUCAAAUCAGGUAGGACUACCCGCUGAACUUAAGCAUAUCAAUAAGCGGAGGAAAAGAAACUAACAAGGAUUCCCCUAGUAACUGCGAGUGAAGCGGGAAGAGCUCAAAUUUAAAAUCUGGCGUGCCUCUGGUCGUCCGAGUUGUAGUCUGGAGAAGCGUUUUCCGUGUUGGACCGUGUAUAAGUCUCUUGGAACAGGGCGUCAUAGAGGGUGAGAAUCCCGUCUUUGACACGGACUACCAAUGCUUUGUGAUGCGCUCUCAAAGAGUCGAGUUGUUUGGGAAUGCAGCUCAAAAUGGGUGGUAAAUUCCAUCUAAAGCUAAAUAUAGGCGAGAGACCGAUAGCGAACAAGUACCGUGAGGGAAAGAUGAAAAGCACUU